GUCACAAAUCAUCUUCCAUGGUGCUUUCCCUGAUUACAUGUCCAUAAGCAAUAAGCUCUCAUCAUUCCAUAUUUCCAUCAACUUUUGUGUUGUCAGACUUCAUUUCUGCCAAUCUCAAAGGUGUUGAAUAAAUCCUAUUGUGGUUUCCAUAUUCUUCCUUUACAGGAAACUUCAAGGACUAAUGUAAAGGCUGACUCCAGCUGGGGACAUGUGACUCCAAGUCCCAGACAUGAGAGGCUUGUCUGCCUCUGCCCUUCCUAACUGGACAGCAGCUAGCACUGGCUGAUGGGGCAGAGGCUAGAAACAUAAUCUGAUUGGCCUUGUCUCUUUGAAUUUGGAGAUUUGUACUCCCCACCCUGCAUCUUUUCCCAAUCUGCUCUCAACUGUUGAUUAAUUUGCCAUAAAGCCCUGGAGUGGCACAGCCGAGUGAAGGGUGAAUGGUGUUUGUUAGGGAGAAUGUCCGCUGCGGUCCUCACUCCCCUGUCCCAGAGGUCAGUCUCCUGCAGUUCAUCCUAAUACAAGGUCAUUCACUCUGAGGAAAGCCAGGAGCCAUGUUGUGUGAACACCCAGGAAGCUUGUGGAGAGGUCCUUGUGGAAAGAAAUAGAGUUUUUGGCUGAUGACCAACCAGGAGGUGAAGCUGCCAACAACCCUGGGAGUGAGACUAGAAAUGAAUUCUCCAGUCCAGUCAAGUCUUGAGAUGACUGCAGCCUUGCUUGGCAACUUGACUGUAGCCUUGGGAAAGACGCUGAGACAGAACCGCCCAGUGAGGCUGCUCCUGGGUUCCUUAACCUCAGAAACUUGUGAAACAAUAAAUGUUUCUUAUUUUAAGCUCCUCUUUUUUGGAAUAAUAUUUAAUACCUGGAAAUAGAUAACUCAUACCACGGAGCUAUUCAGAUUUUCUAUUUGUGUGUGUGUCAGUUUUGGUAAUG